rnacentral:rRNA from 1 species
UAGGGAAUCUUCGGCAAUGGGGGGAACCCUGACCGAGCAACGCCGCGUGAGUGAAGAAGGUUUUCGGAUCGUAAAGCUCUGUUGUAAGAGAAGAACGUGUGUGAGAGUGGAAAGUUCACACAGUGACGGUAACUUACCAGAAAGGGACGGCUAACUACGUGCCAGCAGCCGCGGUAAUACGUAGGUCCCGAGCGUUGUCCGGAUUUAUUGGGCGUAAAGCGAGCGCAUGCGGUUUGAUAAGUCUGAAGUAAAAGGCUGUGGCUUAACCAUAGUAUGCUUUGGAAACUGUCAAACUUGAGGGCAGAAGGGGAGAGUGGAAUUCCAUGUGUAGCGGUGAAAUGCGUAGAUAUAUGGAGGAACACCGGUGGCGAAAGCGGCUCUCUGGUCUGUAACUGACGCUGAGGCUCGAAAGCGUGGGGAGCAAACA